UACAAGUAUUAAAGGCAACGCCUGCCCAGUGAACAAUUAAACGGCCGCGGUACCCUAACCGUGCAAAGGUAGCAUAAUCACUUGUCUAUUAACUGUAGACCUGUAUGAAAGGCAAAAUGAGGGUUUAACUGUCUCUUAUAAUAAAUCUAUUAAACUGAUCUUCCAGUAAAAAAGCUGGAAUAACACCAUAAGACCAGAAGACCCUGUGAAGCUUUAACUAAACUAUUAAACCUAAUAAUAACUACUUUAGGUUGGGGCGACCUUGGAAACAAAAAGAACUUCCAAACAACACACUAACACUAGGCUCACAUGCCAAUAAAUGACCCAGUAAAACUGAUAACUGAACAAAGUUACUCCAGGGAUAACAGCGCUAUCUUCUUCAAGAGCCCAUAUCAAAAAGAAGGUUUACGACCUCGAUGUUGGAUCAGGACAUCCUAAUGGUGCAACAGCUAUUAAGGGUUCGUUUGUUCAACGAUUAAUGUCCU
rnacentral:rRNA from 1 species